AAAUAAUGCAAAUCAAGAGGUAUAAAACCUCAUUUUCAGUUUAUGAACAUUCAUGGAACUGCACAAGUGAUUAAGAAUAUGCAUAGCUGAAAAGCCACCAAGUAUCUGAAAGGUGUCAUCUUAAAGAAGCCAUGUAGACCAUUCUUGCAUUACAAUACUAAAGUUGGUUCUGUCAAACAGGGGGAGUGGACACAGGGCCAAAGAGUGCCGAAUUUUAUUGCAUGUGUUAAAAAAUAUAGACAGCUUAGAUGUAGAUUCUCUAUUCAUUGGACACAUCCAGGUGACUGCAUCACUCAAGAUCCAUCACUUUUUUAAAGAGCUCAGGGUCACACUAGCCUAUGCAUGAGUUGCUCCCGCUUCACUGAGAUGCUGCUCUCCAAAGGGAAACAAACUGUUCCUAAGCCAGAAGAGAAAGUUGUCUAAAAGAAAAGAGCAUCCCAGAAGAAA
rnacentral:lncRNA from 1 species